rnacentral:rRNA from 1 species
UACGUAGGGCGCAAGCGUUGUCCGGAAUUAUUGGGCGUAAAGAGCUCGUAGGCGGCCAGUUGCGUCUGCUGUGAAAUCCCGGGGCUCAACCCCGGGCGUGCAGUGGAUACGGGCUGGCUAGAGGCAGGCAGGGGAGAACGGAAUUCCCGGUGUAGCGGUGAAAUGCGCAGAGAUCGAGAGGAACACUAGUGGCGAAGGCUGGGCUCUGGACAGUAUCUGACGCUGAGGCACGAAGGUCAGGGGAGCAAACGGG